GUGCCAGCAGCCGCGGUAAGACGGAGGAUGCAAGUGUUAUCCGGAAUCACUGGGCGUAAAGCGUCUGUAGGUGGCUCGACAAGUCAACUGUUAAAUCUUGAAGCUCAACUUCAAAAUCGCAGUCGAAACUAUCGGACUAGAGUAUAGUAGAGGUAAAGGGAAUUUCCAGUGGAGCGGUGAAAUGCGUAGAGAUUGGAAAGAACACCGAUGGCGAAGGCACUUUACUGGGCUAUUACUGACACUCAGAGACGAAAGCUAGGGUAGCAAAUGGGAUUAGAUACCCCAGUAGUCCUAGCCGUAAACAAUGGAUACUAGGUGUUGAACAGAUCGACCUGUGCAGUACCAAAGCUAACGCGUUAAGUAUCCCGCCUGGGAAGUAUGCACGCAAGUGUGAAACUCAAAUGAAUUGACGGGG
rnacentral:rRNA from 1 species